UCUUCCUGUUUUCUGUCGCGUGAAAACGGGAAAAUCGGUAUAAGAACCUGAGUCGUUGAGCUUGUUCUACAGUGGGCCUGUGUUAGUUGUUCUAGACGACUUGUUAGUGCAGUACAUCCUCCUGAAGAGCUUCCUGUCCAGCUGAAUCAUGGCAGAAAAGGGACCCGGGAGAGCAGAGGACAACUCUGCCACUGCUGACAGCAACAAUGGAGAACAUUCAGCCUUCUCUGCUGAAGAGAGUGGUCCGGACCCUCAGAGCAGAGACUUCACAGCCCCCCUACAUACCUGUUCAGGAACAGAGAGUGGAGCUUCUGCUGAGACCAGCUGGUAGUGGUCCUGAGAGCAGGUGUAC